rnacentral:lncRNA from 1 species
GAAAAGUGCCUACCCCUGGCCUGGGAUGCUUCCUCCUGGGAUGCUCCCACUUGGAACCCAACUAUUGUGCUGCAGAAGUUUAACUUAACUGUGUAAGGAGGCCAAGAGGAGGCCCUGGCUGCCAGCCAGCAUCAACUUCCAGUGACGUGAGUGUGCCAUUCUGGAACUGGAUCCUGCAGCCUCGGUGGAGCAGCCUCAGCUGAUGCCAUGUGGAACAGAGAUGAACUGCCGCUGCCGAGCUCUGCCCACGUUGCAGAAUCAUGAGCAAAUAUGUUGUGGAUUGGCUGUAACUCUGCUCUGGGAUCCAGGCUGAAGGAGCAGGCUCUAUCUGGAACAUUACUAGUCUCCAGGCAGAAGAAAAAGAGACAAUGAAGAAGAAAUAAAACAAACUUCUACAUGGCAAAAUAAACCUCUACAUGGCAAAAUAAACCUCUACAUGGCAAAAUAAACCUCUACAUGGAUAGAGAUCUGUCUCAGACACAUUUUGGUUUCCAUGACUUCUGAAUGGCAGCAUGAGGAGCUCCAUGAACCCUCUCCCCAGUGAAAUGACCAUAAUCUCUGGAAAUUGCUUAAGAUCAAAGCCACAACUAUUUAAAGCCUUUGGAAAUUGUUUUAUGGGGAUGCGGCAAAUUAAUAAACUUUUAUUCAAGAAAAUGUACUAAGUCUCAGUAAGAACAGUGAGAGUCAAUAACAUUUGUACCACAAAAGACUUCCUCCCUCCUUCUUCUAGCUCAGCAUGAUGGAAAAGUUACUCUAAGUAGGUGAAGCCGAGAACACGGGCUACCUCUUUCCCCAGCUCUCAGUUGAGGGCUACUAUAUC